rnacentral:rRNA from 1 species
CCUACGGGAGGCUGCAGUGAGGAAUAUUGGUCAAUGGACGAGAGUCUGAACCAGCCAAGUAGCGUGAAGGAUGACUGCCCUAUGGGUUGUAAACUUCUUUUAUAUGGGAAUAAAAUGUUCCACGUGUGGGAUUUUGUAUGUACCAUAUGAAUAAGGAUCGGCUAACUCCGUGCCAGCAGCCGCGGUAAUACGGAGGAUCCGAGCGUUAUCCGGAUUUAUUGGGUUUAAAGGGAGCGUAGGUGGAUUGUUAAGUCAGUUGUGAAAGUUUGCGGCUCAACCGUAAAAUUGCAGUUGAAACUGGCAGUCUUGAGUACAGUAGAGGUGGGCGGAAUUCGUGGUGUAGCGGUGAAAUGCUUAGAUAUCACGAAGAACUCCGAUUGCGAAGGCAGUUCACUGGACUGCAACUGACACUGAGGCUCGAAAGUGUGGGUAUCAAACAGGAUUAGAUACCCGUGUAGUG